rnacentral:rRNA from 1 species
CGAAAGCCUGACGGAGCAACGCCGCGUGAGGGAUGAAGGCCUCUGGGCUGUAAACCUCUUUUCUCAAGGAAGAAGACCUGACGGUACUUGAGGAAUAAGCCACGGCUAAUUCCGUGCCAGCAGCCGCGGUAAUACGGGAGUGGCAAGCGUUAUCCGGAAUUAUUGGGCGUAAAGCGUCCGCAGGCGGCCCUGUAAGUCUGUCGUUAAAGCGUGGAGCUUAACUCCAUUUAAGCGAUGGAAACUACAGGGCUUGAGUGUGGUAGGGGCAGAGGGAAUUCCCGGUGUAGCGGUGAAAUGCGUAGAUAUCGGGAAGAACACCAGUGGCGAAGGCGCUCUGCUGGGCCAUAACUGACGCUCAUGGACGAAAGCCAGGGGAGCG